rnacentral:tRNA from 1 species
GGCCCGUUCGUCUAGUGGCCUAGGACACCACCCUCUCAAGGUGGCGGCACGGGUUCGAACCCCGUACGGGCUG